rnacentral:rRNA from 1 species
AUUGAACGCUGGCGGUAUGCCUUACACAUGCAAGUCGAACGGCAGCACAGUCAUCGCUUUCGCGUAGGGUGGCCGAGGGGCGGGUGGUGGAUCGAAACAUGGGAAUCUGCGGGUGCUAGGGGGGUGACGGAGGGAAACAUACGCCAAUACCGCAGACGGCGUACGGGGGGAAGCAGGAGGUCUUCCGAUCUUGCACCGGUGGAUGACGCGAUGUCGGAUUAGCUAGUUGGCGGGGUAAAGGCCCACCAAGGCGACGAUCCGUAGCUGGUCUGAGAGGACGACCAGCCACACUGGAACUGAGACACGGUCCAGACUCCUACGGGAGGCAGCAGUGGGGAAUAUUGGACAAUGGGCGCAAGCCUGAUCCAGCCAUGCCGCGUGCGGGAAGAAGGCCUUCGGGUUGUAAACCGCUUUUGUUCGGGAAGAAAAGCUGUAGGCUAAUACCCCGGUGUGAUGACGGUACCGAAAGAAUAAGCACCGGCUAACUUCGUG